CCUACGGGAGGCAGCAGUAAGGAAUAUUGGACAAUGCUCGCAAGAGUGAUCCAGCCAUGCCGCGUGCAGGAAGAAUGCCCUAUGGGUAGUAAACUGCUUUUGAACUAGAGAAAACCCCAGUACGUGUACUGGGCUGAUAGUAUAGUUAGAAUAAGCAUCGGCUAACUUCGUGCCAGCAGCCGCGGUAAGACGAAGGAUGCAAGCGUUAUCCGGAUUCAUUGGGUUUAAAGGGAGCGUAGGUGGACUUAUAAGUCAGUGGUGAAAUCUCCGAGCUUAACUCGGAAAUUGCCAUUGAUACUGUAGGUCUUGAGUACAGUUGCUGUGGGCGGAAUAUGACAUGUAGUGGUGAAAUACAUAGAGAUGUCAUAGAACACCGAUUGCGAAGGCAGCUCACAAAGCUGUAACUGACACUGAGGCUCGAAAGUGGNGGAGUACAACAGAUAGUAUACCUACGUAGUCGCACCGUAACGAUAGUAUACUCGUCUGNGUAGGGCGACGUUAGU
rnacentral:rRNA from 1 species